rnacentral:rRNA from 1 species
CCUACGGGAGGCAGCAGUGAGGAAUAUUGGUCAAUGGACGAGAGUCUGAACCAGCCAAGUAGCGUGCAGGAUGACUGCCCUAUGGGUUGUAAACUUCUUUUAUAUGGGAAUAAAAUGUCCCACGUGUGGGAUUUUGUAUGUACCAUAUGAAUAAGGAUCGGCUAACUCCGUGCCAGCAGCCGCGGUAAUACGGAGGAUCCGAGCGUUAUCCGGAUGUAUUGGGUUUAAAGGGAGAGUAGGUGGUAUGUUAAGUCAGUUGGGAAAGUUUGCGGCUCAACCGUAACAUUGCAGUUGAAACUGGCAGUCGUGAGUACAGGAGAGGUGGGCGGAAUUCGUGGUGUAGCGGUGAAAUGCUUAGAUAUCACGAAGAACUCCGAUUGCGAAGGCAGCUUACUGGACUGCAACUGACGCUGAGGCUCGAAAGUGUGGGUAUCAAACAGGAUUAGAUACCCCUGUAGUC